rnacentral:rRNA from 1 species
AUUGAACGCUGGCGGCAUGCUUUACACAUGCAAGUCGAACGGUAACGCGGACUUCGGUCCGGCGACGAGUGGCGAACGGGUGAGUAAUGCAUCGGAACGUAUCCAUUUGUGGGGGAUAGCCCGGCGAAAGCCGGAUUAAUACCGCAUAAUCUCCGAGGAGGAAAGUGGGGGACCUUCGGGCCUUACGCUGAUGGAGCGGCUGAUGUCGGAUUAGCUUGUUGGUAGGGUAAAGGCCUACCAAGGCGACGAUCCGUAGCUGGUCUGAGAGGACGACCAGCCACACUGGAACUGAGACACGGUCCAGACUCCUACGGGAGGCAGCAGUGGGGAAUUUUGGACAAUGGGGGCAACCCUGAUCCAGCCAUGCCGCGUGCGGGAAGAAGGCCCUCGGGUUGUAAACCGCUUUCAGACGGAAAGAAACAGUACAAGCUAAUACCUUGUACCAAUGACGGUACCGUCAGAAGAAGCACCGGCUAACUACG